rnacentral:rRNA from 1 species
UGGGGAAUCUUGGACAAUGGGGGCAACCCUGAUCCAGCCAUGCCGCGUGAGUGAUGAAGGCCUUAGGGUCGUAAAGCUCUUUCGCCUGUGAAGAUAAUGACGGUAGCAGGUAAAGAAACCCCGGCUAACUCCGUGCCAGCAGCCGCGGUAAUACGGAGGGGGUUAGCGUUGUUCGGAAUUACUGGGCGUAAAGCGCACGUAGGCGGACCAGAAAGUUGGGGGUGAAAUCCCGGGGGCUCAACCCCGGAACUGCCUCCAAAACUAUUGGUCUAGAGUUCGAGAGAGGUGAGUGGAAUUCCAAGUGUAGAGGUGAAAUUCGUAGAUAUUUGGAGGAACACCAGUGGCGAAGGCGGCUCACUGGCUCGAUACUGACGCUGAGGUGCGAAAGUGUGGGGAGCAAACAGGAUUAGAUACCCUGGUAGUCCACACCGUAAAACGAUGAAUGCCAGUCGUCGGGUAGCAUGCUAUUCGGUGACACACCUAACGGAUUAAGCAUUCCGCCUGGGGAGUACGGUCGCAAGAUUAAAACUU